GACAACAGCUAAGCCCAGUUACGGCUGUUUUUUUAAUGCAUAGAUGCCAAAUCAUGAGUCUCAAGGCUUGCUAAUUAGCCCCAUGAUUGGCGUCCUCGUUACAAAAAUGGUUAAUUUGCUCGGCAGCGUGUCUCAUACAAAAGAGGAUCCAUCCUUUGAAGGCAAAGCUUUUAUCCUUUUCAAACACGUCCUCAAGUUAUCAACUUCAACACAACAUCAAGGCCUGCUUUUGUUGGAAUAAUUUAACACUAAUAGUUCACGAAUGCUGCCACCACUCCUGUUGCUGAGCUGUCAGUGGCUGCAGAGACGUUUGGUUCAAAGGCAGUGCCAGCGUGCAAUGAACUUGGGCUCCUUCUUAGUUUAAAAAGUUGGGGUUUUAGGUUUUUCUCCCCCCUUUCUCUUGUGGUCUGAUGGGGGGCGGCCCCAGGGCUGUCUGUGCGUGAGGUGAUGGGCAAAGCUCAAGGAAGAGCUCGUGCACAUAAGGAGAGGGUAGGAAUCACUGCCUGCAGCAGCACAAUGCGUUGGAAGGUGGAUGGAGCAGUGAGAAGCAGCACUGCAGGAGCCAGCUCCAGCUGCAGACCUCUGCCAAUUAGCAUCAAUUACAGCAGUGCAGUGUCCUCUCAUAGGCAAAGGAGCUGAGCUGACGGGCAGUGGGGGCCUGGAAGCAGAAAGGUGCAGGAGAUCCCAACCCUAUGGCAACCAGAUCCUACUGCAGCUCCCCACGGCGGAUGGAUGCUUUUGUCACCAUGCACAACAACAGGACCAACGCACACACACACAGACUUUAUUUUGCUUCUCCUUGAGGCCAUUUGCUCUGAAAAAGAGCAGAGCUCCCACUGCACGCUGCCCCAGCUGUCACCCAUUGGUAGUGUGUGAGACGUGGCCCCGCAGUGCCACCGCAUCGUCUGCAGACAGCGGCUGUCUGUUCACAAAUUAUCACACCUACUCCAUCCUUUUCAGGUAUAAGCAGUAAUUUGGCUUUUGGAGAGAAGGAAAAAAAAAAAAAAAAGAAAGAAAGAAAGAAAGAAAGAAAGCGUGGAAAGGGGAAAAUCAUCUUGAGCAAGAAAUAACUAAAAAUGUGCAAAACAGAAUGAAAAUGACACUUCAGCUUUAACAUCACAUCAUUAGCAAGAUAUUUUAUCAUGCAAUUCAUCUGCCUACCUACCUGCUUCCCAAACCACAAUGUUCCCCUCAGAGUUCUGUUCCUCUUUUGCAAUGAACCAUAAAUUACAUGCUGACAGCUUUAAUUUGUGCAAAGUAUGCCUGGUUGCUUCUGGCACAAGCAGCCGGCUGCUAUAAUAAGGUCAAUAUAUAUUCAUUGUCGCAUUGCUUGAUGUGCCAGAUAACACAAAAAUGCAGAAAUGUGGUAGUUUCU
rnacentral:lncRNA from 1 species